rnacentral:rRNA from 1 species
CUACGGGAGGCUGCAGUCGAGAAUCUUCCGCAAUGCACGAAAGUGUGACGGAGCGACGCCGCGUGGUUGAUGAAGUCCUUCGGGACGUAAAAACCUUUUCUCAAGGAGGAAGUUUAUUGACGUUACUUGAGGAAUAAGAGGUUGCUAAACUCGUGCCAGCAGCAGCGGUAAUACGAGUGCCUCAAGCGUUAUCCGGAAUUAUUGGGCGUAAAGGGUGCGUAGGUGGAUUUAUUAGUCUCCUGUCAAAGAUCUGGGCACAACUCAGGAAAGGCAAGGGAAACGGUAAAUCUAGAAGAUGUGAGAGGUUUAUGGAACUCAUGGUGUAGGGGUGAAAUCCGUUGAUAUCAUGGGGAACACCAAAUGCGAAGGCAAUAAACUGGCACAUUCUUGACACUGAGGCACGAAAGUGUGGGUAGCGAGGGGGAUUAGAUACCCUAGUAGUC